GUAAUACGUAGGGCGCAAGCGUUUUCCGGAAUUAUUGGGCGUAAAGAGCUCGUAGGCGGUUUGUCGCGUCUGCUGUGAAAGACCGGGGCUCAACUCCGGUUCUGCAGUGGGUACGGGCAGACUAGAGUGAUGUAGGGGAGACUGGAAUUCCUGGUGUAGCGGUGAAAUGCGCAGAUAUCAGGAGGAACACCGAUGGCGAAGGCAGGUCUCUGGGCAUUAACUGACGCUGAGGAGCGAAAGCAUGGGGAGCGAACAGGAUUAGAUACCCUGGUAGUCCAUGCCGUAAACGUUGGGCACUAGGUGUGGGGGACAUUCCACGUUUUCCGCGCCGUAGCUAACGCAUUAAGUGCCCCGCCUGGGGAGUACGGCCGCAAGGCUAAAACUCAAAGGAAUUGACGGGGGCCCGCACAAGCGGCGGAGCAUGCGGAUUAAUUCGAUGCAACGCGAAGAACCUUACCAAGGCUUGACAUGGACCGGACCGGGCUGGAAACAGUCUUUCCCUUCGGGGCUGGUUUACAGGUGGUGCAUGGUUGUCGUCAGCUCGUGUCGUGAGAUGUUGGGUUAAGUCCCGCAACGAGCGCAACCCUCGUUCCAUGUUGCCAGCACGUGAUGGUGGGGACUCAUGGGAGACUGCCGGGGUCAACUCGGAGGAAGGUGGGGACGACGUCAAAUCAUCAUGCCCCUUAUGUCUUGGGCUUCACGCAUGCUACAAUGGCCGGUACAAUGGGUUGCGAUACUGUGAGGUGGAGCUAAUCCCAAAAAGCCGGUCUCAGUUCGGAUUGGGGUCUGCAACUCGACCCCAUGAAGUCGGAGUCGCUAGUAAUCGCAGAUCAGCAACGCUGCGGUGAAUACGUUCCCGGGCCUUGUACACACCGCCCGUCAAGUCACGAAAGUUGGUAACACCCGAAGCCGGUGGCCUAACCCCUUUGU
rnacentral:rRNA from 1 species